rnacentral:rRNA from 1 species
CCUACGGGGGGCUGCAGUGGGGAAUAUUGGACAAUGGGGGCAACCCUGAUCCAGCCAUGCCGCGUGUGUGAAGAAGGCCCUCGGGUUGUAAAGCACUUUCAGUGAGGAAGAACGCCUGGUGGUUAAUACCCAUCAGGAAAGACAUCACUCAUAGAAGAAGCACCGGCUAACUCCGUGCCAGCAGCCGCGGUAAUACGGAGGGUGCGAGCGUUAAUCGGAAUUACUGGGCGUAAAGCGCGCGUAGGUGGCUUGAUAAGCCGGUUGUGAAAGCCCCGGGCUCAACCUGGGAACGGCAUCCGGAACUGUCAAGCUAGAGUGCAGGAGAGGAAGGUAGAAUUCCCGGUGUAGCGGUGAAAUGCGUAGAGAUCGGGAGGAAUACCAGUGGCGAAGGCGGCCUUCUGGACUGACACUGACACUGAGGUGCGAAAGCGUGGGUAGCAAACAGGAUUAGAUACCCUUGUAGUC